AGGCAAGACAGUAAGCAUUGUUAACUUUGACAAACCCUCCUGAUGGCAAGGCCAAUUCAGGCAAGACAGUAUGCAUUGUUAACUUUGACAAACCCUCCCUAUGGCAAAGCCGUUUCAGGCAAGACAGUAAGCAUUGUUAACUUUGACAAACCCUCCCGAUGGCAAAGCCGUUUCAGGCAAGACAGUAAGCAUUGUUAACUUUGACAAACCCUCCCGAUGGCAGGGCCAAACAGGCAAGACAGUAAGCAUUGUUAACUUUGACAAACCCUCCCGAUGGCAAGGCCAAACCAGGCAAGACAGCAAGUCAUGUUAAGAGAGGCACAAACGCUAAAUGAGGGCAAAACAAGGAUCCCAUGAGACCCCAUGCCCACAUCGUUUUCCAUAUCCAGGAUACCAAGCAACGCUCAAUGGGCCACAACAUCAACGCAAGCAUAAUGUUGUGGAUCAAAGAGACCGCUUUGUGGUUCAUCCGAUGCCACAAAAAUGGCACGAGACGAAAUCAACUGUAAUCAACCAAGACAAUACCAACGCUUAGGUACGCAACACAGAAACCCACAAUUGGCCAGGCAAUAGAU
rnacentral:misc_RNA from 1 species